rnacentral:rRNA from 1 species
CCUACGGGUGGCAGCAGUAGGGAAUCUUCCACAAUGGGCGAAAGCCUGAUGCAGCAACGCCGCGUGGGUGAAGAAGGUCUUCGGAUCGUAAAACCCUGUUGUCAGAGAAGAAAGUGCGUGAGAGUAACUGUUCACGUUUCGACGGUAUCUAACCAGAAAGCGACGGCUAACUACGUGGCAGCAGCCGCGGUAAUACGUAGGGGGGAAGCGUUAUCCGGAUUUAUUGGGCGUAAAGGGAGCGCAGGCGGUCUUUUAAGUCUGAUGUGAAAGCCUUCGGCUUAACCGGGGUAGUGCAUUGGAAACUGGGGGACUUGAGUGCAGAAGGGGAGAGUGGAACUCCAAGUGUAGCGGUGAAAUGCGUAGAUAUAAGGAGGAACACCAGUGGCGAAGGCGGCUCUCUGGUCUGUAACUGACGCUGAGGUUCGAAAGCGUGGGUAGCAAACAGGAUUAGAUACCCGGGUAGUC